rnacentral:rRNA from 1 species
UAUGGUGUUUUAUGCCACAUACAUCACAGCCAUGACAGUAUCUGAUCAACCUAAUCUGAGCUUUGAAGUUAAGCAGGAUCAGGAUUGUAAAUGUUUGGAUGGGAGACCAACUGAAAGAAGGAAUUCCAGGACCAUAG